GAUGAACGCUAGCUACAGGCUUAACACAUGCAAGUCGAGGGGCAGCAUGGUCUUAGCUUGCUAAGGCCGAUGGCGACCGGCGCACGGGUGAGUAACACGUAUCCAACCUGCCGUCUACUCUUGGACAGCCUUCUGAAAGGAAGAUUAAUACAAGAUGGCAUCAUGAGUCCACAUGUUCACAUGAUUAAAGGUAUUCCGGUAGACGAUGGGGAUGCGUUCCAUUAGAUAGUAGGCGGGGUAACGGCCCACCUAGUCUUCGAUGGAUAGGGGUUCUGAGAGGAAGGUCCCCCACAUUGGAACUGAGACACGGUCCAAACUCCUACGGGAGGCAGCAGUGAGGAAUAUUGGUCAAUGGGCGAGAGCCUGAACCAGCCAAGUAGCGUGAAGGAUGACUGCCCUAUGGGUUGUAAACUUCUUUUAUAAAGGAAUAAAGUCGGGUAUGGAUACCCGUUUGCAUGUACUUUAUGAAUAAGGAUCGGCUAACUCCGUGCCAGCAGCCGCGGUAAUACGGAGGAUCCGAGCGUUAUCCGGAUUUAUUGGGUUUAAAGGGAGCGUAGAUGGAUGUUUAAGUCAGUUGUGAAAGUUUGCGGCUCAACCGUAAAAUUGCAGUUGAUACUGGAUAUCUUGAGUGCAGUUGAGGCAGGCGGAAUUCGUGGUGUAGCGGUGAAAUGCUUAGAUAUCACGAAGAACUCCGAUUGCGAAGGCAGCCUGCUAAGCUGCAACUGACAUUGAGGCUCGAAAGUGUGGGUAUCAAACAGGAUUAGAUACCCUGGUAGUCCACACGGUAAACGAUGAAUACUCGCUGUUUGCGAUAUACAGCAAGCGGCCAAGCGAAAGCGUUAAGUAUUCCACCUGGGGAGUACGCCGGCAACGGUGAAACUCAAAGGAAUUGACGGGGGCCCGCACAAGCGGAGGAACAUGUGGUUUAAUUCGAUGAUACGCGAGGAACCUUACCCGGGCUUAAAUUGCAGAUGAAUUACGGUGAAAGCCGUAAGCCGCAAGGCAUCUGUGAAGGUGCUGCAUGGUUGUCGUCAGCUCGUGCCGUGAGGUGUCGGCUUAAGUGCCAUAACGAGCGCAACCCUUGUUGUCAGUUACUAACAGGUUCCGCUGAGGACUCUGACAAGACUGCCAUCGUAAGAUGUGAGGAAGGUGGGGAUGACGUCAAAUCAGCACGGCCCUCACGUCCGGGGCUACACACGUGUUACAAUGGGGGGUACAGAGGGCCGCUCACACGCGAGUGGAUGCCAAUCCCAAAAACCUCUCUCAGUUCGGACUGGAGUCUGCAACCCGACUCCACGAAGCUGGAUUCGCUAGUAAUCGCGCAUCAGCCACGGCGCGGUGAAUACGUUCCCGGGCCU
rnacentral:rRNA from 1 species